GGAACAAUUAUCGGUGGAACGAUACCCGUUGACCCUUGCCAACCUGGUUCGCUUCCUUCGAUGCGCGCGGUUUUAAGCACUAGAGGCACAAUUGGUAAAAACCACACGGGCGGUGGAAGAAAUAAAAAAAAC